rnacentral:rRNA from 1 species
UGGCCCUACGGGGGGCAGCAGUGGGGAAUAUUGCACAAUGGGGGGAACCCUGAUGCAGCGACGCCGCGUGGGUGAGGAAGUACUUCGGUAUGUAAAGCCCUAUCAGCAGGGAAGAAAAUGACGGUACCUGACUAAGAAGCCCCGGCUAACUACGUGCCAGCAGCCGCGGUAAUACGUAGGGGGCAAUCGUUAUCCGGAUUUACUGGGUGUAAAGGGAGCGUAGACGGCAGCGCAAGUCUGAAGUGAAAUCCCAUGGCUUAACCAUGGAACUGCUUUGGAAACUGUGCAGCUGGAGUGCAGGAGAG